AACCAGCCUCCCGUCAGAGAGGGACAUGCGCAAUGCUUAUUGAGGAUAUCAUUUUCUGUGUGUGGGAAUUAGAUACUGAAGGUUACAUGGUUUACAGACAAGAUCUUUAAAAAGAGACAUUCAAGGACCAAGGAAAUAAAUACCAGAAACCAAGAGCACAGAGUAUUUUCCUUCAUCAAUCCAUAGACUCUUCUCUAGUUUAAUCAAACACAAAAGAAUGACCACCUUGGCAAAUGGCCACAGAGGAUGUCAACAAUUUUUUGGAGAAUUAUGUUUUAAUGAAAAAUAAGUGUUCUUUAAUAUAGCGGUUUAUAUAAGUACAGCUAUUGUCCCCUUCCUUUUUUUUUUUUCUUUGAGCACUAUUGCAUGUGAAAAAUUACAUGAAGCCAUUUUGCACUUACCUCGAGUACUGUAUAAGACUGAAUUAUAUCCCUAAAUACAAAAUAAAAAUUUAAAUAGCUGAAAUUCAGUACCCAUGCUUGAAAACAGGGCUGUUGGCAUUUAUCUUGGAUGCACAAAUCAUAUAACUAUAAAUACUAAAUAGUUUGGAAGUUAAAGUUAUCUUCUGUUUAUUUUAAAAUUAUCCAUACCAUAUAUGAAUUUUUUUUCAUUUAAUUCCUGCACUUUUUUGGCCUCAAACAUUUUCAAGCAAUUGUUCUAAAGGGCUCCAAAAUCCUUGAGAUGUCAUCCUUUACAUCCCUAUCAGCUUUAUUUUUUGUGAGGUUCCUGCAUCACAAGAUGCCAUUGAACUUUUAGUUAUUUUUACAGGAGCUCUUAAUACUCCUGGAAAAAUAGCUGGCCAAGGAUUGUGGACCACGGUGCCAUCUUCAAUAUGAAAAUUAAUUACAUUACCCUUUAGAGGAAGUUUGGUUGAAAAGAAAUUGAAAACUGCAUUAUAACAAAAAUAAUAUAAGGAAUUUGCCUUCUCUGCUUUCAUAAACAGUAUUUAAGUGGGUGAAUAUAAAAUGAAAUAAAAGUAACUUAUGAAAACAUAAGUAGAAUGCAAGAAAAUUGAUUUUUUUCCAACAUUUUAUAUGAACAAAGAAACUGUAGAUAUGUCAGAAUUUUUAAUUUAGUGUUAAUUCAACCCAUAGGCCUAAGGUCAUCCAGCAAACGAGCCUGCUUUUUAAGUUGUACAUAAAAGGACAUUUUCCAAGUGAAGGAGGCCAUAAAUGUUUAAAAAGCCCAGUGUAGAGCCUUCUGAGUUUUCUUUCGGUAACUAGAGACAAAAUUAAUUCUUGCUUUUCUGUUGAGGAAAAUUUCAUCUAAUUACAUUCAAAUUAUUCUGCAACUUUUUGGACAGCAAAGCCUGGUCACCAAAGAAAAGAAAAAGCAGCUGUGUUGCCCUUUCCUCAUAGUUAUAAGAAUAGUAUUAUUAUGCAGUCACUAGGCUUUAUAGAACCGUAAGUGUUUAUCCUCUGACUGCCUUCUGGUAGGUACAUACCUAAACCUUUCUGAACUGCUGAUAAAGUAAGCCUUCUGUUUUUAAGGCUCUUCAAAGAAAUAGAUUUCAUUGCUUCUUUUAGCAAACCAAUCUGGAAUAACAGCUCUCAGGAGUAGGGAAUUCUUUCUUAACCCUUUUAUUGAGUGAUUGUUUCUGAAAUUUCUUUUCUCAGAAUCAUGCUUUAAUCAUAAUUUAAAUCUCUUCUUAGUUUCAUGUAAUCUACUUAAGGUUUAAGAAAAUACUUAAAGUUGAUCGCUGCUAAAAUUAAUAGAAAUAAUUUCCAUAAACAAUACUUCUCCAUUAGCAGCCUAUUGUUAAAUUUCUUCCUCUAAUAUUUCGUUUUUGAUCUUAUCUAGUGUCACAUCUUAUUUUGAUCUUAAGUUAUUCUUUAACCACAGAAACAUAUCUUGUGUCAGAUAAUUGUAAUUUCUCUUUCUUCCACACACAUUAUGUUAAGAACCAGCCCUUUGUUCUCUUUGAAUUGCAUUCUAUUUAUGACCAUGUCAUUAAUAAUUCUAAUCAAAAGUGCUGGUGAUUUCAUUUUCUUCUCAUAUUUUAAGGUCGAUUUGCAAAUUAUGAUUUAAAAAAAUGUUGAUAGUUAGAAAGGCAAUUAGAACAUCGUGGGUAUGACUAUAAGCUUGCUAUACAAGAACACAAAUUCAUAGAACAGAUUAAGACUGACUGAUUAACCACACCUGUGCCACUCCCACCAGCUGUUUGUUAUCUUGGGUAAAUUACUGAUUCUCUUUGUCCCCCAAUUUGUAUAUCUUUAAAAUUUGAUAAUUAUAGCAUUGUAAGGAUUAAAUGGGAUGGAUAAUAUAAGUAAAAGCUUAGCUACUUAGCAGUUGGGUGGCAUAUAAUUCAAUAAAUAGGUGAUGUAAUUAUUAUACUUUUUGCAAAAGCAAUAAUGAAUUUGUCCAUUAUAUUCAUACCAGAUUUAUUUUACAUCAUGUUUCUGGUACUGCUACUAAGUUUUUUUUUCACAUUGAAUUUCCUCAAUGAGCAUUUUAAAUUUUAUGUUCAAGCAUGUAAAAAUGCAGUUUAUGCAGAAAUCGCUGGUAAAACAAACAAACAAAUAAAAACAUGGUUGUUUAAAAAAAAUGGCUGGUAGCCUUUUAGUCUCAUGAAAACUAUGUAUAUUACAAAUUUUGCAGGAGGUUUUACUGGAUGUUCCUGAUUUAUUGCCUGUUCUAAAAUUUUAACUUUAUUUGAACAACUAUUACUUGGAGAAAUAUUCCAUUCACAAUGCAGAGUGAUCUAAAAAAUCUUCUUUGGAUUAAAUAUCUUU
rnacentral:lncRNA from 1 species